rnacentral:lncRNA from 1 species
AUGUUUAUCUUUGUAAUAAUGCUGUUUUCAUGCUCCUCAUCUCAAUAUACAGGUGGAACAAAAUGGAGAACAAGUCUAAGCCAUGUCAGGAAUUCAACAAAAUGUACACCCUGCAGACACUGCGACGAGGUUUACAACAACUGCUUACCAGGUUACUGCAGUCACCCGGAUCCAGUACGUAUCCAGACCAGAUGGUGGAUCGCACCUAGAAAGGACCUCUACAGCCCUGAAAGACAGCGGAGACCAGGACAACUAGAGCCCCAGAUACAGAUCCCCUGUAAAGACCUUGUUUUUUCUCCAUUUUGUCACCGGUGGAGUUUUGGUUCCUUGUCGCCCCUGGCUUGCUUUGUUGUGGUCACUUCAUUUACAGUGAUAUCCUUGACAUGAUUGCAAAUGAUUCCACAGAUACUAUUUAAACUGAACCGAGCUCAAGGAUGACAUCACUGAACUGAAUGAUAAACUGCCUUUUAAACUGACUACAAACUGAGUUUACUAAUGUCCUUCUGCAUUAUUGACUGACACACUAUUUUCCUAUUUAAUACUGUAAAGUUGCUUUGCUUUGAGCUGUAUUAUUAAAAGCACUAUAUAAAUAAACGAUGCUUGACUUGACCAUGUUGCAAGAGGAAAAUGAGGGGAGAUGCACAUCCACCCUGGGUUUUACAGUGAUUGGUGCAAGAUGCUGGAGAAGUAACUCUGUAUACCUCAUCAGUUCUGAUCUAAGAGUCUUGAAAAUACCUCCGGAUUGUUGUUAGUGAUUCUGAUUGAUAUUUUAGUCUGCUUGCUUACUGGAUAUAUUUUAUACGGUUUACAUUGUAAAGCAAUGACUUUGACAACUUACUAACCCAGUUACAAAUUUAACAGCUACUUUAUACUAUAUAUAUAUAUAUAUAUAUAUAUAGUUGUUUCUUGAAAUACUACAAAUAUAACUGCAAAUUAUGAUUUUAAAUAAAGGUCUCUGAGAGACUUCUCUCUUUUCAGUCAUUUGUGUAUAUAGCCUAUAAUAAAUAUACAAC